rnacentral:rRNA from 1 species
CAGCAGCCGCGGUAAUACGUAGGGUGCAAGCGUUAAUCGGAAUUACUGGGCGUAAAGCGUGCGCAGGCGGUUUUGUAAGACAGAGGUGAAAUCCCCGGGCUCAACCUGGGAACUGCCUUUGUGACUGCAAGGCUAGAGUACGGCAGAGGGGGAUGGAAUUCCGCGUGUAGCAGUGAAAUGCGUAGAUAUGCGGAGGAACACCGAUGGCGAAGGCAAUCCCCUGGGCCUGUACUGACGCUCAGGUGCGAAAGCGUGGGGAGCAAACAGGAUUAGAUACCCCGGUAGUCCCUGUCUCUUAUAC